rnacentral:rRNA from 1 species
AAACCAACAGGGAUUACCUCAGUAACGGCGAGUGAAGCGGUAACAGCUCAAAUUUGAAAUCUGGGUCUUUCAGGCUCCGAGUUGUAAUUUGUAGAAGAUGCUUCGGGUGCGGCUCCGGUCUAAGUUCCUUGGAACAGGACGUCAUAGAGGGUGAGAAUCCCGUAUGUGAUCGGUUGCUUGCGCCCAUGUGAAGCUCUUUCGACGAGUCGAGUUGUUUGGGAAUGCAGCUCAAAAUGGGUGGUAAAUUUCAUCUAAAGCUAAAUAUUGGCCAGAGACCGAUAGCGCACAAGUAGAGUGAUCGAAAGAUGAAAAGCACUUUGGAAAGAGAGUUAAACAGUACAUGAAAUUGUUGAAAGGGAAGCGCUUGCAACCAGACUUGCGCGUUGCCGAUCAUCCGGGGUUCUCCCCGGUGCACUCGGCCUCGCUCAGGCCAGCAUCGGUUUUGGUGGUGGGAUAAAGGCCUUGGGAAUGUAGCUCCUUUCGGGGAGUGUUAUAGCCCUCGGUGCAAUGCCGCCUACCGGGACCGAGGACCGCGCUUCGGCUAGGAUGCUGGCGUAAUGGUUGUAAGCGAC